rnacentral:sRNA from 1 species
GUUCUUAAGAUUCUUCA